AGCUCCCGAGCACGCCGGAGGCCUGGCCUGUGGAUGAGAUUGUUCCUUAUUUCCCCAGCUUCAGCACCACAGAAGAGACCAGAGUCUACCUUGCCAGCUCCUCUAGCACCGACCACGUGCCAAUUCAUGUCCUGAAUGCUCACUUCACUUCUUCACCUUGCUUCACUUCACUUACUGCACGGGAACAGAAAAGCCUAGAGAGGAUGGAUUACCUGUGCGGUUGCCUCCCUCUGCAGAGUGGGCGUGUCUCAGGAGCUUCUCUUCUUCUCCAGCCCAGUGCGGCCUCGUGUCAUCCAUAGGACCCACCGGCAGAGGGCAGGGCCUGCGAGUGGGGCCAGCCUCCUGGUGACUCUCGCCUCCUCUUUUCCAGCGGACGCUACCAGAGGACGAAGGUCUGACUCUGGCCAACGGCCCAGAAUUUCUGGCCCAGUUUUGCCUGAGGAAGCCAACUGUGCAGGAGGUCAGGAUCCCGGUAGGGUGAGAGUGGGAAAGUUAACAUUCCCAAGAGACUCCAAGCAACAGGAUUUCCUGACCUGGGACUAUUACCUUUCUCACAUUACAUGGCCAGAUUUACUUCCUGCUAUUAUUAAAAGUACGAAAAAGAUGAAGAUAUGUGUUUAAUGGAAACAAGGGCAAGAGUUUGCCUGACUGGACUUUGAGGAGGCUGUAGGAUCAUGGCGCUAACGGCAUUUGGAGGGCUGGGAAGGGACUCUAGCCCUGGCUUUACCUGCCUUUGUCAUCAGCUGGAGCAAGCAACUCCGCAACCUCGGAGCCUCAGUUUCCUUUUCUGUAAAAGGCGGGGAGGGUGGGUGGUAAGUGCAAUGCUGAAUCAGAACUCAUAGAGCUGCUGGGUGGACAUGUGAAGUAAAAGAGGAGACAGCUUUUGCUCCUGAAGGAUGCCAUUUGCGUUUUCCUCAUCAGUUUGAUCUCCUCCAAUCAUCCAGCACCUCCAUCUGACCUUCUCAGCUGAGAGGUCCUCAGUGUUUCUGUGGCCUCCAGGAGAAAGGUCCCCCUCCCCGGCUGAGGCCAGGCUGAUGGCAGGCUGCACGGCCAGCCUUCCACAGUCACCUGAAGGAUACAGAAAAGGAAGAGCUGGAGGCUUCUAGCAAGCUGCCGAACUGUGUCCUCCAGCUGCGCCCAGCCCCCUGGAGGUAGCGCCGGAGCACGUGGUGGUGGCUAUGUAGGAAGGCCCCUUUCGAGCCGCCCUAUACUGUCUUUGGGAUCUGCUUUUUACUGCCACAGCCUAUGUGCUCCUGAUUCUUCUCUCAAUCCCUGGAUGGAAACCGGCCUCUGAUACUUGGCUCUGCUUCCUUGGAGGAGCUACUUAACCAUUCAGUCCUCUCUGCAGUUAGCUAUUAAGGUUGUCCUGCGAACUGAAGCAGAGAGUCCCCGCAAAGGGUGCAGAGUAGGGCACCCACAGAGGAGCCUCUAAAGCACUUUCCAUGAGGUGGAUGGCUUCUCCUCCCCAAGGGACCCAGGAAGGAAAGGAGAGCUGCUUCUGCCUCCCCAGCAGAGAGGGACCUUCCCAGAGAAGAUGUCUUGCGCCUCACCUGAUCUUGUUCUGAGAGUAGGAGACUGGAAGAGAAGCGUUCAACUCCCCAAACACAGCUGGGUUUGUUUCGUUUAAUCUCCCAGCCUGUUUUUCUGCUGUCCUCCUGAAGAAUGUUUAAUCUCACAGUUAAAACCACCAAAAGCGACUUUUUUCCCCCUCAACUGCUCAGUAACACAUGACCGUGCAAAUUCGUUUGGCCCCAGCGCCACAAGUCAUAAAAGGCAUCUAGUGGGCGGCAUGAGUCAAUCAGGCCUUUGGACGGUGACGUAACCACAGCUUGUCAGUUUCCCCAUCCAGGCAGCCCCAAUCCCCCAGUGCAGACAUCUGGAGCCAGGGAUUGACAAGUGGAUUCCAGGAUUGGGCCCUGCCUCCCGCCCUGUUCAGUUCCAGCCCAGCCACGGCCGCCGCCAACGAGGACACGCACUGUCUUUCUGCACAUUCCCACGUACACACACCCCCGCAGCCCCCUCUCCACUCAUUCCUGCAUUUCCGGCAAUGUGAAUUCUGACAGCUCGGGCAGUGUCAGCCUCUCCGGUGCAUUCCUCACCACACCACCUCACUGCUCCCGAGCCUGCUGACAGCACUCCCCGCCAUACCUACCAAGCCGAAGGUGCAAGGAACCUCUUGAUCCCCACUGUGUCUUUGUCCCAGGGCCACAGCAAAAUAGCACCCCCCUCCCCCACACACCCUCUAGCCUAAUUUAUUAGACUUUUAAACACAUUUAUUUACUGUGAUAUCUACACCACACCAAACAUCUGGAGGGAAACCGGGAGACAAUCCACCAGGAAUUUAAAUGUUUGUUCUGCAAUGUAACUUUGAAAACCGAACCAGGAAAACUUGACAUCUUUAGCCAAUUGCUUGGUGGUGAGUAGACUUAAGCCAAUAUAUAAUCUGUAAAGGUUGUCCCUCUUUGCCCUCUCUCUAUCCAUGAAACGCAUUCACCAAACAGCCCAGAAAUAUUUCUUUCUUCUCCUCUCAGAGGUAUGUGAAACCAACCUGAAUCAACAACAUAGUUGUUCAACCAGCCUCACUGAGAACGAAGGCAUUUCAGAGCUGGAAAGACGCUAGGGUCUGGGGUCUUAUCUUCCACAUUUAUCUGCCUUAUUAUAAUCCAUCCAGUCAUCCUCUUUGCCCUUGCCAGAUCUCAUCGCUUACACUACCACUACCGAAGGAGCAUAACGUCUGUGACUUUUCUUUUUUUUUUUUUUUUUUUUUGAGAUGGAGUCUUGCUCGGUAACCGGGCUGAAGUGCAGUGGCAGGAUCUUGGCUUACUGCAACCUCUGCUUCCUGGGUUCAAGUGAUUCUCCUGCCUCAGCCUUCUGAGUAGCUGGGACUCCAGGCAUGCGCCACCACGCCCAGUUAAUUUUUGUAUUUUUAGUAGAGAUGGGGUUUCACUAUGUUGGCCAGGUUGGUCUCGAACUCCUGACCUCGUGAUCCAUCUGCCUCGGCCUCCCAAAGUGCUGGGAUGACAGGUGUGAGCCACCGCACCCGGCCACGUCUGUGACUUUUCUAAAGCUUUAAGAUGAUGUCACCCAUAGGCAGAAAGGCCCACUCAUUUCGUGCAUCUGCAGUCACUCUUCUGACGAGGUGCGGCUCUCUUUUGUUCUAUCAAAGAGAAAGCCAGUCUAAAUUAAUGGGAAACUAGAGAAUUAGGUCAUUUUUCAAGAUGAAAUUGCUGGUAGCUUAAGGAAUCAGCUACUUGAAUCCCAUGCUAAAAAAGUGUAACUCCUGAGGAGUGAGCUCUUCUUUCUUCCUUCCAUAAUGUCAGGCACUAAGGGAGGUUCAGAAACACAGAGCAGCAUCUACUCCUUUCUCAACGAGCGUGGGGUCCAGUGCAGUUGGCCCUCAUUUAACAAAUAAUUACACCCAUGCGUGAAAGGUCCAGUGGGGAAACAGUGCGGGGAGCCUCAGGCAGAGCUGAUUCAGGCCUGGGGAGGCACGGGAGCCACAUGUUCAGGGUCCACAGGCCCAGCGGAGUGAUACGGAAGUUUCCAAGAUGGUAAGCCUCUCUCCUGGCCCAUGCUCACCAACGGGACCCCAUUCCUAACCAGGCUUUCCCUCUCUCUCUUUUAAGUGUUCCAGGAAUGUUCCUACCCCUGCGUCUUUGCUGAAGCCCCUCUUGCCUGGGAUGCCCUCUGUCCUCUCUUUCUGCCCACACACAUCCUGCCAGUCCUUCAGACAGGGCCAGCCUCACGGGCAUAGGACCUGAGCAGUUUCACAGGGCCCUAUGCACAGAAGGAUCCCAAGCUCGGUUGAUUGCUCCGAUCUUGCCAUCUUGAAACUCUUUGAUAAUUUUAUCUUUUAUCUUGUGUUUUGGGAGUGAAAUCCAAUGGGAUAUUGGGGCCUGCAAAGGAGAAGAGGAGAUCCGCACAAACCCGUUCCUGGCUGCUGCAUUCACCUCCAGCGUUUGUGAUGCCCCAGAGCACAGAACUCCAGGGAGCCCACGAUGCAGGAGAGUUCAGCGACAUUCACUGAGUACAAGAGAAGACUGUUGGGAGGCACCAAUGGACUUUGCAACUGGAGAUCUCCCAACUGGACCAUGUCACUGUUAUGUUUAAUUUGCACUGUGCACAGUAGGUACCCAGUCAACGUUUGUCGAAUUCCAUGGACUGGGCCUUAUACCUCCGAGGAUUUUUCACAGCAGUAGCAUGUGCACAUGCACAGAACGAGAACACAACCAAUGCUUGUUUGCUGGUGAAGACCUGGUCUCAGUAUUUUGCCCAGGAAACCCUUUCUUCAUGGACAGCAUGAGGCAAGCUAUGGCCCUUGCUGUGGUCUCAGUGGUUCAGCACGGAAGAUGAAGAUGACGGGCAGUCUCAGAAUAUUAGCUUUAGAAGGGACUUUGGAUCCUUUUGAUUUUGGUAGGUGAAAUACUUUUUAAAAAUAAAGAAAACGGACUUUGGACAAAUGCUCUCAUUUUGUAAAUGAAAAAGUAGAGACAGGAAGAGUAACUGA
rnacentral:lncRNA from 1 species